GUGUCAAGUAUCAAGAUAUCCUCUGUCAACAGAUCAUCUUGAGAGAAGUUGUAAAUUUCCUCUACCUGGAACUUUCCUCUACUGAAUGAAAAUGCAUACAAGUGGGGAUCCCUGACAAUAUCCUGAGAUGCUUUUUUACUAUUGUAACUUUGUUUCCCUCCAAGUGCAAACCAGAAGGUUGAACUCUCUGUUCCUUCCUUUGCAUGUUUAAAAGUUACACCCGGCUUUAGAAACUCUGCAACUUUUGCAGCUAACUGUUGCUGCUCAAAUGUACUUUGGUUUCCAUGCCAUGAGAAAACAGAAGAGCCGGAUUGCAGGACAAAACACUCAGUAGAGUUCAAUGAGGUCGCAACAGCUUCAACUUGCACUGCUUUAUUGUUGUGAAUGGAUGUUUGUGAUAUCCUAAUAAGGGCAACUGAAUCUUCCGUGUAAGUUUCAUCAGCCAAACCUUUAUCUGCUAUGACUUUCUU
rnacentral:misc_RNA from 1 species